GAUGAACGCUGGCGGCGUGCCUAAUACAUGCAAGUCGAGCGAACGGACGAGAAGCUUGCUUUUCUGAUGUUAGCGGCGGACGGGUGAGUAACACGUGGAUAACCUACCUAUAAGACUGGUAUAACUUCGGGAAACCGGAGCUAAUACCGGAUAAUAUUUUGAACCGCAUGGUUCAAAAGUGAAAGACGGUCUUUCGGUCACUUCUAGAUGGAUCCGCGCUGCAUUAGCUAGUUGGUAAGGUAACGGCUUACCAAGGCAACGAUGCAUAGCCGACCUGAGAGGGUGAUCGGCCACACUGGAACUGAGACACGGUCCAGACUCCUACGGGAGGCAGCAGUAGGGAAUCUUCCGCAAUGGGCGAAAGCCUGACGGAGCAACGCCGCGUGAGUGAUGAAGGUCUUCGGAUCGUAAAACUCUGUUAUUAGGGAAGAACAUAUGUGUAAGUAACUGUGCACAUCUUGACGGUACCUAAUCAGAAAGCCACGGCUAACUACGUG
rnacentral:rRNA from 1 species